UUCACGUUGAGCCCAAUCAAAAGUGCUUCUUAGGGAGCAGGAACCAGGAGGGAGGUUUCAGCUCUUUAUCUCUGCCAAUCUGGAUCUCUCUGGUGACCGUGUCCUGGAUUCCAUGCUCCUGUUUUCUGUGUUAUGCUCAGGGAGAUUAUUGGAACUACUCCCUGCCCAUCCAAGCGUGAAUCUCCCUUCCUCUCCUGUCUCCAGGCCUGCGACUCAGAGAACACCUCUCGGAAACACCAAGCCAUUGCUCACCUGUCUGUCCACCCUCCAACACCGUGCGCUCAGCCGAAGCGCUGCCACUCAGAGGAUUACAAAGCGGGAGAGUCAAUUCUGAGAACCUCCGUCCCACUACUCCUGUGUAACUCGGCCUCUGAGGAAAAACUUACCUCCUCCAACAAGCCAUAACCCACUACUUACAGUGGCGACAGAGCAUGGUGACUGGAGGUUUGACCGGUGUUUCUCAUCAAGCCUUAUCUGAGCAGUAUAAGAGGAGCUUGCUGUGACUGCUGUGUCCUGGAUUUCCUUCCAGUCUGUUACCUGGAUUCCAGCCAACUUCAAGUAUUCCAGAGAACCUCUUCUCUGGCAGCAUUCUGGCUCCUCUCCGGUGAAAUCCUGCAACGAACACUCCUCACCUUCCACCGUGCUCAUCAUCCCCAAGUGCCCACACCAGUGACAUACUCACCUACCUCCUGGAAAUCACUUACCUCACACAAGUGGUUUUUAGCUUUGCUCCAGUCCAUUAUCUGCGGGCAGUACUCUUCACUCCCAGACAACAUGCCCUUCUUUCCCCCCUGGCGGUUCAUCCACCUUCUACCUUCGAGGUGCUCCUGGUCCCGGAUUCCUGUAAACAUUAUCUUACUGGUACAAUAAACCUGUUAAGCCUU